GUCCUUUCAGUUGCCACCAAAUUCUGUUUCUUCCUUUCCCAUGAAAAUUAGAAUUGUUGCUGGGGAGAUGGUUGCAGCCAGGUGUGACUGUAUGACUGAAUAUGGCCAGAAGUAAGUGAUAUGUGCAACUUUUGAUGAGUUCCUGGAUGAGUUCUUUCCUUUCCUUUCUCUGAGUUGGAAAAGUAUUUUUUGUAGCAUAGUGAUUUUGGAAGAGUUGUCUCAAGCAGCCUGGAUGGCUUCAUGGAAAAGAGUCUGCUUACAUGUGGCAGAAGUCUAUUUUUGAAACAACUCAUUCUUUGGUGUCUUCAUUAUACCAAGUCAGUCUUUCCCCUAACAAAUACAGACUACAAAAUCAAUAAGCGCUAAAAUUUCUUUAACCCUUAUUAUCGUGUGCCAGUGACUGAGCACUGUGCAUGUACAAUGUCAUUUGGUUCUCAUCAAGAUUCUAUGAGACAAAAGUACUGUAUUAUCUUCCUUUUACAGAGAAAGGAACAAAGGCACAGAAUGGUUAAAUAAGCCCUUCAUACUCCAUCUCUAGCAAGGCAGCAGAACCUGACUUUGAACCCAUUGUCCCCUCCCUUGAAUCUUAAGCAUCACAGAGUAUUGCUCUUUACAAAGACUUGGAGCAGAGAUCUAAAGUCAGGGUUUGAGAGCUAUUGCAAUAGAGACUCAGAAUCAUGUAACUUGAGGAUAGAAAGUGUUUCAAGUUUGCCCUUUUCUCCCUCUGAAAUAACAGUUGUCUCUGCAGUCAGAACAGGGAGGCCAUCAAGAGAUGAAGAAAGAACGUUUCACUUCCAAAAGCAAGCAGAACCCAUCAGGAUGAAGUGCUAGAGCUCAUUUUCCUGGGGUCUCCUGUAUUUCUGCACAUGUUGCAUGCAAGGGCAUUGACAGCUUUUGUUCUGAACAGUCUUUUCAAGGAUGUUUGUGUGGUGAACAGCCUUAGAGGGUAGUGACAGUGUCCCUUCAGAGCAAAGGGUCAGGGCAUGUACCCCCAUCAUGAAAGAUAUGAAUUCCCUAUGUUCAGGGUUCCUUUCCUGUAACUGCAUGUAAGGAUUAUCUGUCUUGUGAGGAACCGAUACAAAUGCUGACACUCUGGCUGCUGUUACUGCCCUAAGUAAUAAAUUGCCCUUUGCCUCUGACCUAGGAAUCAUAUGUCCUUCUGAGGCUGGUUAACCUAUUAGCUUGAAUAUUUAGUAACAUCUCAGACCCUUCAUAGUUCUUGACAUUAAGGUAAAAUGUUCUAUUGCCAUUUAAGUGUAAUGAAUCAUUCAAUAUUCAAAGGCAGCUUGUCUGGACUUUCUUCGUGUCAGUUGUUUUAAUAAGGAAGAAAGGAAACGUGUUCACAGACAAUGGAAAUUAAUACCCUUGAAAUAGAUAUGGAUUUAGUCUGAAUUCAUGCUAACCUACUUCUGAAACAGAUUUCAGUCUCAGUUCUCAGGACUCUUAGGCCAGAGUCCCCAAAUUAGAUUUCAGUACUCUAAAAUGUCAACAAAUAUGUAGUUUAAGUAUUUUUGAAGACACAGUCUGAUGGGGAAAUGGAGUUGAGGAUACAUUUUCAGACAUUCCAUAAGCAAGAGGAUGUCUAGCUUUAUCAGAAAGGAGGAUGGAACUAUAAUUCUGAUUAAAAGGAAACCAAAAAUUUCAUACAUCAAAGUUAAAAAAUAGUUAUUCAAAUAUUUUGCUUUCCCUCAGUGGAGAAUAAAGCCAUCUUUUUCUGUUGGGAAAAAAACAUUGGAACAGAACUCAGAUAAUGUAGAUCAUUUCAUCAUCUAACUGAAACUCACACAGGAUACUAUCUGGGCCUUGGGGUUUUUUUUUCAAGCAUAAAAUGGGUGCAUGAAAUACAUCAUCUUAAAGUUCACAUCUUACAUGGAAUUCUAGAUUCUCAGAAGUAGAGAGAAACAUUAGUGAUAAAGUGUAAUACCUACAGAAUUUUGAUUUUCUCAGCAUAAACUAUAAGCAGUGUUUCUAGAGACAGGAAGAUCAUUACACUUCAAACCAGACUCUUUCAUCCCCAGGCAUUUUCAAUAAUAAAGAGGCUUCUUCAUAUUGAGGUAAAAUCUGUUAACUUGUAACUGUUAGCACUGACCUUGAUUAACUUCUAAACCAUAAAUGACAGUCAUCUUUUCCUCUGCCGUGCCAGCGCAUUCGUUAUUCGAAGUAGGUAAUCACAUCGCAGACCAGUCUUGUCUUUUCUAAUCUAUUAAUCCCUGAUGCUUAUAAAUUCUUCUACAUGUGAGUUUGCGUUCUGUCACAAAUCUUGUUGGUCUUAAACUGUGAGCUGUUUCAUGGAGUGGAGGCUUACAUACUUGAGACACUACAAACAGGGCUCUGUCUGUCCCUCUUGAAAAAUUGUGCUAGAAGUAGAGGCACUUGUGUCAGAAGCUGGUCUCCAGAGGCUGAGGACCCUGUCCAAGAUGGUGGUGGUAAGGCUGGAGGUAGGGGAAGGAAGCCAGUACUGGUUCUGCUAGAGAGUUUUAAAAGCCUAAACUCAACAGGACGGAGAAGCUGUUGGUGGGCUUAAAUUCUAUCCAAGCACACAUGCUGAUAGCCUUAAGUCACAUACCAGGAGAGUAGGGCAGUUCACCUAUGAAGAUGAUUUUGCUUAUCAGAGGGUCAGCUGGGGUCACUCAAGGUACAGUGUAGACUGGGGCAGGCAUCCUUAGUCUAUCACUUAGGUGGUAAGACCAUCCUGGUGGUUUCCAUAUUUUAGUGUACAUACACAUCAUCAGAGGAGCUUGUUAAAAAUAAGAUUCCCAGACCCACAGAUUUGGUUCAGUGAGCAUGGGGUGUCCGAAAAUUUAAUUUUCCUCAUAGAUUUAGAUGCAGCUGAACCAUGAAUACUCAGUAAGAUAUACUGUUUAUGGUUCUUUUGAGAUUAGAGACUCUAAGUCCCGAGGACCUGGAUCAUAGGGACUAAGAUAGAGAUUAUUUAGCUGGGUGCUUUAAUAUCAACCUGGAAUGGCUCCCUGUAGGAGAGUUUGGCCAAAUGUUUGUUGAAUGAAUGAAUGAAUGAUCCUCUGCUCCCCCCAUAACCUUCCCAACCCUUGCUUGUUGAAACUGUUUUUGUUUUUAAUUUCGAAACAUCUCUCAGUCUCUACCACCAGUCCCUCCCACACAUUCCUCUUCCAUCUCUGGCUGAAGUUUUUUUCCCAUGGUCUCUCUUCCCUUACUGUGAGUUGGAAGAUCAUCCCAUCUGACUUCCUAAUGAUGGUUUCAGUCUAAAAUCAUACAGAGUGUAAGUACAGAGGCAAAUAAUUCCAUUGUCUCAUGGAACUGACUGCUGGGGUAACAGAGAGGAGCAGAUGUGAGGAUUUGGAGUUGCUCUCCUAGAAGAUGGAGAUGCAGGUGUUAACUAAAGUGAUAGGAGAAUCAUUUAGACUUAGGAGGGAAAGGGACAAUUCAAAGACGAUUACCUAACACCAGUAACAUGUUGUGUUCAAAGACAAUUUAAAGGUACUUGUGGGAUAUUUUUAAAAACCUUAUUAUAUUACAUAUUGUACAAACCACACCAGGAACUCCAAAGAGAGGUCUAGGCUACACAUUGAGUUAUAUACAGUGACAUGAUUAGGUCAGAUUAUAAAGAGAAAAGUAUGGAGAGGUAAGGCAAUAGGACACAGACUG
rnacentral:lncRNA from 1 species